GCUCGGCCAGCUCUCGCCCUCUCUCGUGUUUUUCCACGGUCCUUCAGGAAUGGGAGCACGGGCAGGGGAGGGCAGGACUCUGGCCCUCAAAGGUGGGAGCAGGGUGCAGACACCCAAUUCCGAGGGUCUGCAGACAUGAAAGGGCAGCGGGCAGCUUUCAUCUGGGCCAUCUCCAAAAGCAAAAAUGAGAUCUCAUUAACACAAUGAAAGCAACACCCUGAGAGCAUCUAGCUUCACUAAAACCGGAAAUUGCCAGGCACGGUGGCUCACACCUAUAAUCCCAGCCCUUUGGUAGCCUGAGGGGAGCGGAUCACUUGAGGUCAGAAGUUCAAACCUGCCUGGCCAACAUGAUGAAACCCCUUCUCUACUAAAAAUACAAAACUUUGUCAGGUGUGAUGGCUCACGCCUAUAGUCCCAGCUACUCAGGAGGCUGAGACAAGAAAAUCAUUUGAACCUGCGAGGCAGAGGUUACAGUGAGCCAAGAAAUGUGCCACUGCACUCCAGCCCGGGCAAAAGAGCGAGACUCCAUCACAAAAAAAAAAAAAAAAAAAAAGAGAGAGAGAAAGAAGAAAAAAGAGAAAGAAAGAUUUCUAGCUGUCAAACACACAAAAGGUGUUUCUGCCACAAGAAUUUGUUAAAAGCUUCACAUUCUCCUCUUCAUACCCCUGUAGGAGCAAAACUAUCCAAAAACACAGAAGUGACAUCAUGAUAUGCCACCUUAUUUCUUGCGCCUGUCUGCAGAGGCCUGGGGUGACUCAAAUCCGCCGCUGCUGUGUGAUCUGGGACACUUCAGGAUGUGGGCACCGUGGGGAACCAGCUUGGUGCCCAUCUUGGAGGUGUCAUUCUGAGAACCUGGAAGCAGCUCUUGCCCAAGUCACACUCAAGAGCCACGGCUUUGUUAGGCAUUGCCACAUUUUCCAGUGAGUUCCAUGCUCAGAUUGUUCCUGCUUUGUACAGCCCGGGAUAAGCCUGUCAUGAUUACCAGAAAGCAGAGAUGUGGGCCACGGAAGCAUGGGUGAAUGCCGAUGAUGAAUACAGCUGGAGAGAGUGGGACGUGGUCUGUCCACCCCUCAUUAGGUGAGCAAGCGCAGAAAACGCAUUUUCAUCCCCCAGGCUUCUGUAUACUCUCGUGUGGAAUAAAAACUCUAUUGCUCCGGUCUGCAUGUUGCUGACGCCCCAGAAUCCCGAUGUGACAGCCUCGUACCUGAAGUGACAGUGUUCAGGGUGGGGGCUUUGAGGAGUGAUUAAAUCAUGAGGGCUGCACCAACGUGAAUGGGAUUUGUGCCCUUAUAAAACAGGCUGGAGCAUGUUCCUGUGCCCCCUUUGGCCACGUGAGGACACCUUGAAAGGCCACUCACGAGGAACAGUCCAGGCACUGAAUCCACUGGCGCCUCCAGAACUGUGAGCAGUAACAUUCCAUUGUUUAUAAAUUACUCAGUCUCCAGUACUUGGUUCCUGCAGCUAGAACAGGCUAAGGCCUCUGUCCGUGUUCCAGGGAAGCCUCCACAGGGCAGUCACUGCUGAGGAUACUCCGAGCAAAAGGUUCCGUGAUCCAGCACGGUGAUGCGCGCCCACUGUGCGACUUCCAGAGAUCACCGUGGCAUUCGUAAACCAGGAACCUCGUGGAUCUUUAGCCGUAUUAAACGUUUCCUAAACCUACAUGUGUAUUGGCCAUCCAUAAAUCUUUGGAGGAACGUCUAUGUAAAUCCUUUGCCCAUGUGUAAAGUUGGGUUAUUUGGUUUUUAUUACUGAGUUGUGAGAGUCCUUUUGUAAUAUUUUUCUUACUGAGUUGUGAGAGUCCUUUACAUAUUCUGAAUUUAGGUGCCUAUGAUUUGCAAAUACUCUUUCCAUUCUUUGAGUUGUCUUUUCACUCUCUUGAUGGUAUUGUUUCAG
rnacentral:lncRNA from 10 species